rnacentral:rRNA from 2 species
UACAUGCAAGUCGAGCGGUAGCACAGAGAGCUUGCUCUCGGGUGACGAGCGGCGGACGGGUGAGUAAUGUCUGGGAAACUGCCUGAUGGAGGGGGAUAACUACUGGAAACGGUAGCUAAUACCGCAUAACGUCGCAAGACCAAAGAGGGGGACCUUCGGGCCUCUUGCCAUCAGAUGUGCCCAGAUGGGAUUAGCUAGUAGGUGGGGUAACGGCUCACCUAGGCGACGAUCCCUAGCUGGUCUGAGAGGAUGACCAGCCACACUGGAACUGAGACACGGUCCAGACUCCUACGGGAGGCAGCAGUGGGGAAUAUUGCACAAUGGGCGCAAGCCUGAUGCAGCCAUGCCGCGUGUAUGAAGAAGGCCUUCGGGUUGUAAAGUACUUUCAGCGAGGAGGAAGGCAUUGUGGUUAAUAACCACAGUGAUUGACGUUACUCGCAGAAGAAGCACCGGCUAACUCCGUGCCAGCAGCCGCGGUAAUACGGAGGGUGCAAGCGUUAAUCGGAAUUACUGGGCGUAAAGCGCACGCAGGCGGUCUGUCAAGUCGGAUGUGAAAUCCCCGGGCUCAACCUGGGAACUGCAUUCGAAAC